GUUCUCAUCGUCUAACUGGUCAGGAUGCCACACUCUCAAUGUGGUGAUUUGGGUUCGAUCCCCAAUGAGAAUA
rnacentral:tRNA from 1 species